rnacentral:lncRNA from 1 species
UGCAGUCUUCAACAAAAUCCCAAGAAUAGCAGCAUUUCAUGGAAGUCUAUCUGAGUUGCGGACUUACCGACAACUGUUUUCCGUAUGAUUGAAGAACUAAAGAAGGAAUUGCGUUGCUGUUUUGGCCGAACCAGUUGUUGUAUACUAUUCACAAUAUGAGACCGUGAUGUGCAAUCAUCCCCGGGCAUUCUAAAUAAACGCGCGCAGAUACUUUUAGAUAGCGGAAAAAUCCUUCUUGUCUUACACCGCGAGAGGAUCUUCUGCGACAAAAUUUUGAGCACGUUCAAAGCAAACUAGAGAGCCAUUCACUCAAGAAGUGCAACAGAACCUCUCAUGCGAUCGCAAGUUUCACACAGUUCUCUGAGCAAUAGAAACACGGCAACCUACGAAAGCACGAACAGGACGCCUCCGUUGACAUCGCCUACUGGAAUAAUAAUCUACUCUUGCACGAAAGUUUCAAUAGCAACGAGAACACGAUUCGAAAUGACAUAAGCUGUGGAAGCAGUACGAGUGAGCCACGAUAACGGAGUAGUACUUCAAGGAAUGCAUUGAACCUCUUCCGACGUAGCAGGGUUAUAUGCGCGCACCCCGCAAGUGAUCAAGGACUCUGAUAUUCGAGGAGACGUAAUACACAUCCGAGAGUUGAAU